UCAUAGCCCCGAUUGAAGUGAAAAUCCUUUUUUGUUUUUUUGAAAACAAAAAAGAUUGCAACGAAAAGCGGGAAUAGCU
rnacentral:sRNA from 1 species